GACGACGCUGGCGGCGUGCCUAACACAUGCAAGUCGAGCGGAGAUGUACUGAAGAUUUAUCGGAUGUACAUCUUAGCGGCGGACGGGUGAGUAACGCGUGGGCAACCUGCCUUCCACUGGGGGAUAACACAGGGAAACCUGUGCUAAGUACCGCAUGACAUCACAUAGGGCAUCCUGUGUGAUCAAAGGAGUGAUCCGGUGGAAGAUGGGCCCGCGUCCGAUUAGCUAGUUGGUGAGGUAACGGCUCACCAAGGCGACGAUCGGUAGCCGGACUGAGAGGUUGGCCGGCCACAUUGGGACUGAGACACGGCCCAGACUCCUACGGGAGGCAGCAGUGGGGAAUAUUGCGCAAUGGGGGGAACCCUGACGCAGCGACGCCGCGUGAAGGAAGAAGGCCUUCGGGUUGUAAACUUCUUUGAUGAGGGACGAAGGAAGUGACGGUACCUCAAAAACAAGCCACGGCUAACUACGUG
rnacentral:rRNA from 1 species